UAAACUCCUUGCUACAGAGAUAGACCUCCCACAUUAUGUGUGCACAUGUAUUAGUUAAAGUGCAUAGGUAUGUGUUCUUGCACUGAUUACAACAGUCAUGCGUGGUUUGGCUGACCGCAUCGAAGGCGAUAAGGAGAUGAUCUUUCCUGGGCACAAAACAAACAUGAGGAGGAAGAGAACCAGGACAGGAAGAGGUGAUUGGAUAUAAAGGUACAAGGCCUGUGGAUGCAGCAGUGUUCGUCCAGUCACGACUCCAACGGCCUUCUGGGUAGUCUGGCAGGCCAGGGCUGGACAGCUGAAACUGCCUCCUGGUUAAACUAAAGCUGGAUGCCCUACUUCUGGACGGCCUCUAGAAGUGGAAGCUGUUUCUCAGGGGAGCUGAGCUACCCUGUUUCCUCAAGCAGUAAAAGCUGCAAAGGGAGACCCAAAUAAGAACAUGACAUAUUGUGUCAUUGAUAUCUGAAUUUGGUAAGGAGAUACAUCUUGCUCAAUCAAUUUCCUAAGACUUGACUUGACAAAUUUACAAACGUCUCGCAAAACCAGUGACUGGUCAGUUCACUUGGACUUCAAAUACUUUAUACCCUCUCACACCAAUGCCAGGGUUGGCCCACAGCAGAGCAGACAUUCAGGCCAAUAUUCAAACGGUAGACCCACUUGAAGCUUAGUAUGACUUGAUGUGCUUUUGAAGUGAUUAUUGUAACUUUAUGGCAGGACUUUUCAUGUUACUAUGAAAUUCAAAAUUGGAGUGAUUCCUCAUUGCAUAAAAACACAUUUUAUAGGAUGUACUGUAUAAACAAUAUUGUUGUGUGUUGUGUUGUGGAGUUUUGGUGUACACCAGAGUAUGGCUGCCCAUUUGUUACUUUAAGUUUAGAAAAGUAGUAUCAUCUUUGAUUUGUUCAUUUGAUAUAGUUAAUUAAUUAAUAAUUGCCUUGUUGCUGUAUUUUUAAUUUAGUGACAAAUGCAUUAAGACUUGUUUGUAACUUGAAAGCCAAAUAAUAAGGAAUUGGGGCUUGAGGUGAAAAUUAAAUGAAACCAGGGAGCUCUAGCAGAACGAAGGUCUUCCUAUAAUGUUUCCAUGUUGGCUCACUACAUGCUGACACAAAGAUUGUUGUA